rnacentral:lncRNA from 1 species
CAUGCACAUUCUAGGCACCCAAUGUAUGUCUGUUGAAUGGACUGCAUAUCUGAGUUCCCCUCUACACUGUGAGCUCUUAUUUAUCCUUCUUCUUAGCCCCUAGAAUAAUGCCCUAUACAAGGCUGGUGCCCAGUAAAUAUUUGUCAGACGGAUGAAUGAAUUGAUUGUUGGAAGCCAGCCAAGGCCUGGGCAUCCUCAUAGACAAGUAGAUCCAGAUGACAAGUAGCACAGUCCCAAUCUCAGGGAGCUCCGUAGAGAGUUCCAGUCUUCAUGAAUAUCAGCAAUCAAAGGUUAAUAUUAUGAGAUUUUUAUCUGUAUUUUAUACCCCGGGGGAAAUUCUAUGGAUGUUCUCAUAAUUAUUGUUCACAUCUUCCAGUCAUAACAUGAAAUACAAUACAUGCUCACCAUUUCCCAGAGUCUGUGAGGGACAAAUUUCUUGCUGAGGCAAUUAUCUUUCACAGCUGCUGUCCACAAUUUUGUCCAACUCCCAUGGAAACCAGGAACAUUACCUUAAUGUUAGAAGGGACCCCAGAGACAAGCUAGCCCAGCCCUACUGUUUUACAGAUGAGGGAAUAAAUAACUUGUAGAGUUUUCCAUUUUUAAGAUCAUUUUGCUAGGGAGUUUUCUUUUUGCUGGACAUGAGAAAAUGUAACAACAUUUAUGAACAAUAUUUUAUCUCACUUAUAAGCUUACAAAUACAUACAUACAUAGCUGAGAGAAAAAAAUAUUUUAAAAAAUCAAAAGGAAAAUUAUUAUGCAGCCAGGAUCUAGAGAGAGAAAAAGAACCUGAGGUACCAUUUUACCACUUGUCAAUAAUAACAGUUUCUAUUAGGGAAACCAUUUUACACAAUAAUUUUCAAGCAGAGAGCAGAGUGGUGGUGAGCGCACUUGCACUACCCGUGUCUGAAGCAGUACUGGGUGUUAUAGGUAGAAAAGCAUGAAUCAUUUGGUUAUAUCAAAAAUCAUUGAGAGAGAAAAACAAUUUGUUAUCAGGAGCACUCAUUCUUUGGGGACUUUCCAGUGGCAUCUACAGCCGCCUCCUAUUCUGACCAACUCCUACAACUCUGGAACCCAGUUUCCCAUAUUCUGAAUCAUCUUGUGUGCCUCCUGUCCCUGCUGCUGGUAAGAGGGCAUGAAAAGCCAAACCAGAACUGCCAGGCCUGACCCAAGGAUCAGUUCUGAAAAAGCAAAGGACAAACCCAGAUGAGAAAUAGGGUUCUUCAGGAUCUUGUCUUGCUGCUUCAUUCAUAUCAUCACAUUCUAGUGUCCUCUUUCAACCCUGUAUCUUAAUCAGGGCAGACUUGUCACUUAUUCAUAUUUAAUGACUUUCAUGUACUUCUUGUUGCCUGGAAUCUCCUAUGCUUGACCAUUGGCCUGGUCAAUUUCCAAUUCUGAAGAACUUGGUGCAAGUCUACUUCUAUUCCACUUUCCUGAAUACAAUGUCUGAUUUCCAGCUCCUGAUGAAUACAUCCAUUAUAGCUCAUAUCACAGACCUGUUUACCCACUGUUUACUUAUCUGCUUCCCCAGUAGACUCUGAGCUACUGAAGAUAGGGACUUUGUUAUACUCCUUGGUGGCCAGCAGUAUUGGGCAAUGCAAAUUUGCUGAAUGAAUUAAUGAAGACAUAGAGUCACAGGAAGAAGCCAGAGUCAAGUAGUAUAGGAAUGGGGAAAAUUGUACAGUCCAAUAAUUUGGGGUAAUACAAUUAGUGAGGCCUCUUUAUGUAUAGACUUCUCAGAGUCUUUUGUAUGCAAAUGUGCUUGGUAAAUAUACAAAAGAUGAUAUUUACUAAGUACUUAGUAAAGAAGUACUUUCCAACUUAUUUGUCUCUGGAACACUCUCUCUCUCUCUCUCUCUCUGUGUGUGAGAGUGUGUGUGUGUGUGUGUAUGUGUUUGUGUGUGUGUGUUGCUUCUCUCUCCCAGAAAAAUUGCUUAGGAGAUGCAGCUUUCAGGCAUCUUCAUCUAGACCUUUUGCUUUAGGGUAAUACCAUUACCAGAAAGUCAGUAUCUAAGUUAUAAGUACAAUGUGCAGGGUUGUAAGUGCUACAGCAAAUGGUUGAAUUGAAUUUAGCCAGAUGUAAAAGUACUUCAAGUCAUUUUUGAGGCUGAAACCCCUACAAUGAAGAAGUUCUUCCUCUGAAGUUCUGCAAAAUCCAUCUGAACUUUUGACCCAGAAACAUCUUAGACUCUUAAGGAAAUGUUCAUACCAAGUCAACUAGCUUUUACUGUUCUCAUCUAUAGUUAAGUAAAGGGCACCAAAAAACCUCCUAACCAUUACAUUCAUAUAACAUCUUUUGGGUGCUUUGCAUUCAGUGUGGUGAAGGUAAUGAGCAAAAAAAGAAAGACAAGAAAAACAAAAAAAUACUUUUUGAAACCCUGAUAAUAUUUUCACAAAUGAUAUUUAGCAUUGCAAACUAAUGCUUCAGGGUUCUGUAAAUGUGAAGAAUUGAACAGGCAAUAACAGAUAAGCAAUUAUGGCAUGAGAUAAACCAAUACUUUAGUUUAUAGUCAUAAAAUUCUUGCCAAAAAGACACAAAUGUUUUGAUUUCCUCAGAUACUAUAUGAAUAAAUUAGGUUAAAAAGCAAUGUGAUUCAGAAAUUCAUCAAAAAUAAAAAAUAAAAACAUUUACUGGUAACUUGCUAUGUGCCAAUAUUGAAGACGCAAAGAUGCAGAAAAAGAAAAGGAAAAAGAUCUACUCUCAACAAGAUUACUAUCCCUUUACACAAAUGAAUCAUAAUUAAACAGAAAAAUAUCUACAACAGGUGCACUAUCUGGUUUUUAACAGGACAUCCUUAGCACAAAGACUGGCACAUAUAGAUGUUCAAUAAAUGUUGAACGAAUGAGUAACUGAGUGAACAAAUGAAUAAAUAUAGGCAGGAUUUAAGUGGAUGUCUUGACACAUCAAGGUAGGGCUUCAUUAAGGACUGGGGAUUGACAGAUACCAUACAAAUGGUCAUCCCCCAAAAGGCAUGUUAUAGAUGCCUGGAGGAGGGUAAGUGGGAGCUUUCCUAAGUCAGUAGGGUGGCAGGAGAAGAGGAGUGUUUCAAGGAUGUACAAUGACUAGACCUCUCUGAUCUGAGGGGAGUUGGGUUGGGAUACAGCAUUCACACCAGACAGUUACAUUGGAAAAGGCCUAAAGGGUCAUUAAAUGCCAUGUUAUAAAGCCAGAAUUUUAUCUUAAAGAUAAAAGGACACCAAGGAAGGAAGUUUUUGACCUAAGGAAUGAUAGACGGAUGUUCUUUUUAGGCAUAAGUCUGUCUCGUCAUGGAUUACAAGGAAAAAGAAAAUGUGGAUUAGAUGGAUAUUGAAUGAAAAGACCCUUCUCAAAUCUCAAGUCCUUGGAAAUAUAGAUGCAAACCAAUGCUUCAGGGUUCUGUAAAUGUGAAGAAUUGAACAGGCAAUAACAGAUAAGCAAUUAUGGCAUGAGAUAGACCAAUAUUUUAGUUUCUGCUGCUUAACAGCCAUCAGAUUGGGGCAAGUUGCUUAACCUUGGCAAACCUCAAUUUCCUCCAUUGCAAAAUGGGGAUAUUAAUAGCACUACCUCAUAAGGUUGGUGGUGAAGAUUAAAUUAGAUAAUGAUUGUUAACUAUUUACAACAGCGCUGAUCCACAGUAAAUGGUCAAAACAUACCACCUAUUAACACUCGACUUGAAAUUGCAAUUAACAGUUCAUCCACUCAAUAGGUCCUCUUUAAGAAGACCAUGAAUGAAUGAACCAGCUUUAAAGACACUAAUUCCUCAGUCUUCUUGUAAUAUUAAUAUUAUGAAACAAAUUUUUAGGGAAUGUUGUAAAUCAGAGUUAAUAUUUUUGUUGCAUUUGAGUCCCCAUGAUUAUAUUCUGCAGGGAUUUAAUUUUCUGUGAUACUUAAGGCCUGUUUGUGUCUAGCCUGCUUUUCUCUGUCCUAACUCAAUUUCCAUUUAGUGCCAUCCAAGUUAGAAAAAGGCAAUGUCAGCUCCUUCUCAAUGUCCACCUGUAGGGACUUGCCUAAAGUCACACAGCCAAGCACCCAAUAAGACAGCCAGAUCUGGAAUGUAGAUUUUCUCACUCCCAGGUUGGUGUCCACUCACACCCAUGAAAUGGUUUUUUCCACUCCCACUAAAGUGUGCCAACUAGGCAAUAAUACUAAUAUGAGAGCAAGUAUUGAAGCAUCUACUUAAAGAGGUAUAGAAAUGCAUGGGUGUUUACUGGCAUGUGGCAAAUCUAUAGUGUUCACUUUCCAAAUGAGUCAGAUACCCAUUAGAAUGACUUCAUUCAAUUUUUGCAUUAAAUAUAGAAAAUCUUAUACAGCAACCCACAUGCAAAUAUUUAAACUGGUGCUUUUUUAGCUCACAAUGCUUUCCCUGUACCUUGUAAUCAGCCAACCAGAAUCAGUGAAAAAACAAUAUAAAAGACUAACAUUUUUUGUUACCAGUAAUUUCCAAGCUGGGGACAACAUCAUCAGAGGAUCUCAUCCUGACAUCAGUACUUCCCCAGCUGACACAGAAACUCUGCUCUUACAGGGUGGCCCCAUAUUGUCAAGCACAUGACUAAAUAUAGAUCAUAGGCUCAUGCCUCUUGAUCAUCAAACACUGCUCCAAAAUAAUAUUCAAGGAGUUGGUCUGGUUUGGGGGUUAGAAGGUACGUGUGGACUCAUGACUUUGCCACUUCUCAUAAAAAAAUAAGAAUUAUUUCAUGAAUAAGCUGCCAUGUUAUGAAUGCUCCAAUAUCCUGUCAUCAGCACUGAGCACUACAGUUAGCUCAAAGUAUCUAUAGUUUUGCCACCAGCACCAGCCAAAGACACACACAUCACAGUUUUUUACCAUUCCCAUGCCUUCUAUGUUGUUCUAUCUGCCUUGAAAGUCCUACUCCACCCCUUGCCCAUGUGUCACCUUCUACCUCAAAACUCAGCUUAAAGGUCCACUUGGUAAGAACAUCUUGACUGGCCCUUGGAUUCCAAAAUCACUUUUCAUAUGAGCCUUCCAUUCUGGCACUUAAGACAUUGUGUUAUGUGUUGACAAGUCAAUUCCACACCAAGCUGUGGUCCACUUAGAAGUAGGAAUCAUCAAAUUCUCCUUUCUAGAGGCCAAAGGAACUUGGUUGCAGCAGCCAACUUUGGAGCAGCCUCACUCCUUGGGAGCUGGAACAAAGCAGACAGUUAUUCAGAGCAAACACUAUACCGAGAGUAAGCAAAGAAAGCAAAUCAGGGCCACGGAAGGUGCCACAGUCAAAGAGGCACCAUCAGCGUUACUUCCACAGAGGUAAGGUGAAUUCAGUAGUAAAAGGUGAGGACAGAUGACGGAGGCCUGGGGUGAUACAAAGCAAGUAGGAAAGUGAAUAUGAAGCGGAAUAAAGUAGAAAGGCUUAGGACAGAAGUAAAGUGGAGCAGGGGAGAAGAGGGCCAUGUCCAGGGAUCUAAGGCUCUCUGGCGAUUGCUUAGAGGUAAAUGAGAAAGUUGGCCAUUGUAAAGGAGCAGGACUGUUCUAGGGACUGUUCCUUUCUACAUCUCUGCUACCUGGCACACUACCUAAAGCAAAGCAAGUAUUUGAAAACUGUUUACUGAAUAAAUGAGUGAAUUAAUGAAUAAAUCAGUGAAUGAAUCAUAGAGUCUUCUAAGAGUUGACCUACAUAUUCCAAGAAUCUCAGCCUUGCUACUAUAGUAAAUUGGUCAUCUGCUCUUGUAGCAGUUCUCAUAGGCCGAUUGGUUUGCAAGUUAUAUAUCUGUGUGUCUCCUCUGUUAGAUGAUUGCCCCAAGAGAGCAGCCAUAGAGUUCCAGGACAGAGCAGAAUACCAUCUCUUGCACACAAUAAAGUGUUCCAUAAAUGCCUAUGGAGUUACACUGAACAAUAUUGAAUUUAAAUAAUUUGCUUUUCAGUAUAAAUCAGCUUAGUAGUCCGGAAGAAAAGUUUAGAUCAAGAGCAAAUACAGAAACAUUAAAAAUAAUAAAUUGAAUAAGUACAUGAAUUGAUGCUCAACAUCAUUAAUCAUUAGAGAGAUGCAAAUCAACAUCACAAUGAGAUACCACUUCACACCCAUUAGAAUGGCUAAUAUACAUUUUUUAAAACCCCAGAAAAUAGGAAGUAUUGGCAAGAAUGUGGGCAAAUUGGAUCCCUGGACAUUGCUGAUAGAAAUGUAAAAUAGCACAGUUGCUGUGAAAAACACUGUGGCAAUUCCUCAAAAAAUCAAAAGCAGAAUAAUCAUACGAUCCAGCAAUUCAUUUCUAAGUAUAUACCCAGAAGAAGUGAAAACAGGAAUUUGAACAGAUAUUUGUAUACCCAUGUUCAUAGCGGCAUUAUUCACAGUAGCAAAAGGUGGAAGCAACCCAAAUACUAAUCAACAAAUGAAUGAAUAAGAAAAACGUGGUGUACACACACAAAAUAAUAUUAUUCAGCCUUAAAAAGGAAGGAUAUUCUGGCACACACUUCAACUUAAACAAACUUUGAGGUUAUUAUGCUAACCAGAAAAAAAGACAGUCACAAAAGGACAAAUGCUGCAUGAUUCCCCUUAUAUGAGGUACCUAGAGUAGUUAAGUUCGCAGAGACAGGAAGUAGAACGGUGGUAACAGGGGGCUUGGAGCAGGUGGAAAUAGAGAGCUAUUGUUUAAUGAGGAUGGAAUUUUAGUUUUGUGAAAAAAAGUUUUGGAGAUGAUGGUGAUGGUUGCACAACAAUAUAAAUAUAUUUAAUGCCAUUGAACUGUUCACUUAAAAUUGUUAAACGGUAAAUUUUAUGUUAUGUACAUUUUGCAAUAAAAAUAAAUGUUAGUAGCAAAUUUUUUUAAAUUGAUAAAUCAGACUCUAAUUUCCUAGAGGCUUAUCAUUGAGGACCAUCUCCCCUCUUUACCACUUUUAGAAAAAAUGGCUAGUGAUCACCAAAAUACAUACAACACACACACACAUAAAUAUGUGCAAACCACAAUUGCACACACACACAUAUUCUUAUAAUAAAGCUUUCUGUAAUAAGCCAAAAUGGAGGCUCUAAUAAUAGAAGCCAGAAUAUCUUACCUCUAAGACUUCUCAGCUAAUUAGCUUCCAGUUGGGCAGGUAGUGUUCUUUCAUCCUCCAGAAUCUCCCACACGUUUGAGAACUAAGGACUCAAAGAGCAGAAGUAGGCUUAACUGUAAGGUCCAACAGGGCCAUGAAUGUUGAGUCUCUUCCUAGUCUCAUAGAAAAAAGAGGCGUUUCCUUUCUUCUCCUACAAGAGACUCCCCUUCAGUACAACUCACUCAUAGGCAGACAGAAGGUAGAGAAAGUUCUUAAAGUCACCUGCCCACACAGGAUAUUGAUGGAUACCACACAUAAGACCACAUCAUUGUAGCAAUGAGACAUGGGCUCUGCUCUGGGCAAUCCUGGAUAGUAGACCCAAAUCCCAGAUUCACAUCGACCCAAGAAUUCAGAGAAGGUCUGUGCUUAUCAUUGGCUUAUUAAACAAAUAAACCACUGCACAGGCUGGAAAGAAGGUUCCCUUAGUUCCUGCUCACUCUCAGAGGUGUUUCCCCUCCUCCCCACUUACCUUGUCACCCAUCACACAAGGUCCAAUUCCAGUUCCACCUUGUCAUGAAUCCUUCUCCUAAUCACUUAAGUUCUUAGAAGUUUUAUUUUUCCCUCUCCUGACCCCUAAAUAAUACAUUUUGGGUAUUCUUCAGAAUGAAGAUUUAUGUAAUAGAGUUUCUUUGGAGCUUUUAUUGAGUUCUUGCUCUGUGCUCCGUUUUAUCCUCAAUUAGGAUGUGAGCCCCCAAUUGAAGCUCACUGCCCUGUCUUCUUGCCCACUUGACACCCCCUGAAUUAUAGUAUAUUCCCAGGAAUUAGUUAAGAGGUUGAAAUAUUUCAACAACAGCUUUAUUAGGUAAAAAUACAGCCUUUUACAAAAACAUCCCUUUUUAGUAGAUCUUGGAACACAGUUAAUUCUCAAUAAAUGUCCAUGAAAUGGCCAUCUUAGGACAGCAAGAAGUACCCCCUCUGAAUGUCAUUUUUGUGCCUAUCAACCUACUGGGAGGAAAGACAAGAAUCCUUAUGAACCAGCCUCUUCUCUGGAGCAGACUCACAGACUCCUCCAAGGAUCAGAAUUGCAGGAAAUGUGUACAUUUCAGCCCAAUUUCCUUUUCCAGAAAGAAAAAGUGAAGUCCAAGGAAGGAGAGUGAUUUGUCCAAGAUCAUCAAUGAGUUGUGGGCAGUUCUAAGACUAGUACCUAAGUCUUGACCAUGAAUAGGCUCUCUUGAAACACCCAGAACAGGGCUUGGCACCUGGUAAGCACUCCACAAACAGUGUUUGCUUUAAUAACGAGUGACUGAAUGGACACAUGGGUGGUAUGUUGACAUGACCGUGGGAGCACAGAGGAGCAGCAUCUCAUCAGCAAUGUUUUAGGGGCAGGUGGAAGAAGAUGAAUCCAAAAUGAUUGCAGAGAAGUCCCUGUUAGAGAGGUGCAAAGGAGAGAAGAAUGAAGGCAAGAAUGGGGAAAGAAGAUUUACCAAUGCGAUGAAAUCAGGAACAGGUUAUAUCACUUGAUCAUGAAAUGUUGAACCUGGAAGACAUGCUAUGAAAGGAGGACUCACCUUUCCUGCACACCAUGCAUGCAUCUCACAGAGAACAUAAGUUCCCACCCUUCCACAAUUCUCAUUCUGCAGAUGACAAAUUAACCUGGCCAGUCAUUGCCAGGAUUUGAAUCAAAACCUCCUGACUCCAGUCAAGGCUCCUUCUGAUAGAAAAAUAUAUCUAUAAAAUAUAAAUAAGUGUAUAUAUGCAAAUAUUUAAAUUAAGAACUCAGAAGAGUUAUAGGAAAUAGGAAGGAAAAAGAAUGUAAGGGCAUAUUUAUGAGCCCCAGUUAAAUAUAUACAACCUCCAGUCAAAUACUACUAUUUAUUAUUUUUAUUUAUUAUAAAUAAUAAUAUUUAUGAAUGGGAUGAAUAUCUUCAGGCACUGAAAGAGAAUGAAUCCACAAAGAAAAGAGAAGUAACUUAUCCAGUCCAGAAAGCACCUCAUCACCCCAGACAAACCCUCAGAGAGGCAUUUAGCAACAACUUGUGGGAUAAGGGUUUCCAUUGUCUAAUUUAUGAUGUCAUUCAUCAUUCUGUUGAAUUGUAUGUUCAGAGAAAUAUGGCAAGUCCUAUUUCUCUUUCCCAAAUCUCUGAGUUUUUACUUUCUACCCAACCAAAGCCCUGUACUAGAAGUCAGAAAUUGUCAACUGACUUUAUUGAAAUUUCAGCCCCAAAAACUGUACCCUCAAAUGCUAUGAUUUAAAUAUGGACUGCCAAUGCCUCUAGAGAACUUAGUGCAUUGACAACAUGGGGGAGGAGCUUUGUGUCUUAUCCAUAGGAAUUCCCUACUGAAAGGCAAUGCCUUCUUUCAGGUUAACCAUUUAUUUUAUCCUCUGCAAUAGGACCCUGCAUUCUAGCCAGGAUCUCAAUGUGCUUCACAAAUGUUACCUACAGGCCAGUAUUAGCUUUAUCUUUUUUCAGAAUUGUUUCUAGUAUUAGAUGACUAAUACGAUUUUAGUGCAACAUUCAGGGUUUACAUUUCAACAGAACUAACAGGCCAGAACUGUGGCGAUAUUUUCUUUCUCUGCUUCAUGAAGGCAUUAGUUGUCUGGCUGGGAAAGUGUAGGAGGGGCCAAAAAAAACCUCAGAACCCCUUGAUCUCACCAUCCGGUACCUUCUCCCCUGCAUUGGCAUUGACUAAUUCUAAGAUCUGAAAGAUAACUGCCUUUUGGUCGUAAGAAAACUUUGGUUCCCUGAAGGCCAACUCAUAAACCUCAGACACAUAAUUUAAAUGAAUUUCAGGUUUUAAUCUUACUUGUAUUAACAAGUAAUAAAAACAUUACUCAAGGUAUCAUUAGUUGCUAUUAUAAACAAAUUUCAAAAAUGUGUAAUGCCCCAAACACUAUAGAAAUUUCCACCUAUAUAAAAUCCAAAAUGGGUGGUGUUCAUCAGCAAGUGGAUGUAUUCCUGAUUCCAAGAAACGGAGUCUUCCCUCUUGUGGCUCCGUCAUCUUCAACAUGGAGCUCCAAAAAUGGCUUGUCCAUGUCAGCCCCAAAAUGAUAGGAAAGACGAUUGAAGAGACCAUGAGAGAUAUUUAAGCACCAAACCAGAAAGUAGAACAUUUCUGAUCAAAUUUUUUUAAGUAAAGUUUUUUUUUAAUUGAAGCAUAACACACACACACACACACACACAGAGAGAGAGAGAGAGAGAGCUUGAAAAAAAUUGCAGCUCAAAGAAUUUUCGCAAGCUGAGAACACCCAUGUGACCAGCAUGAAGAUGAAGAAAUAAAAUAUCAGCAUCCCAGAAACCUCCCUUUUCCUCCUACUCUGUUCACCUCUCACAAAGGUAACCACUGUCCUGGCUUUUACCACCAUAGAACAAUUUUGCCUACAAGUUGAAUAAUACAAUGUAAACACUUCUAUUUCUGCUUUAUUUCUCACAACAUUGUGUUUGUAAUAUUUAUUCCUAUUGUCACAUGUAGUUGAAGAUCAUUAAUUCUCCUUGUGAUAGUAUUUCAUUUUGUGAAUAUAACUACAUUUUAUUUAUCCAUUCUACUGUCUGAUGUGUAUUAAAGUUGUUUCUAG